UACGGGGGGGCAAGCGUUGUUCGGAAUUACUGGGCGUAAAGGGCGCGUAGGCGGCCUGCUAAGUCGGGUGUGAAAACUCUGGGCUCAACCUGGAGGGGUCAUUCGAUACUGCCAUGACUAGAGUUCGGUAGGGGAGUGUGGAAUUCUGGUGGAGCGGUGAAAUGCGCAGAGAUCAGGAGGAACACCCGUAGCGAAGGCGGCGUCUGGACUGCAACUGACACUGAGAGACGAAAGCCAGGGGAGCAAACGGG
rnacentral:rRNA from 1 species